UACCAUGCAAGUCGAGCGGUAGAGAGAAGCUUGCUUCUCUUGAGAGCGGCGGACGGGUGAGCAAUGCCUAGGAAUCUGCCUGGUAGUGGGGGAUAACGUUCGGAAACGGACGCUAAUACCGCAUACGUCCUACGGGAGAAAGCAGGGGACCUUCGGGCCUUGCGCUAUCAGAUGAGCCUAGGUCGGAUUAGCUAGUUGGUGAGGUAAUGGCUCACCAAGGCGACGAUCCGUAACUGGUCUGAGAGGAUGAUCAGUCACACUGGAACUGAGACACGGUCCAGACUCCUACGGGAGGCAGCAGUGGGGAAUAUUGGACAAUGGGCGAAAGCCUGAUCCAGCCAUGCCGCGUGUGUGAAGAAGGUCUUCGGAUUGUAAAGCACUUUAAGUUGGGAGGAAGGGCAUUAACCUAAUACGUUAGUGUUUUGACGUUACCGACAGAAUAAGCACCGGCUAACUCUGUGCCAGCAGCCGCGGUAAUACAGAGGGUGCAAGCGUUAAUCGGAAUUACUGGGCGUAAAGCGCGCGUAGGUGGUUCGUUAAGUUGGAUGUGAAAUCCCCGGGCUCAACCUGGGAACUGCAUUCAAAACUGUCGAGCUAGAGUAUGGUAGAGGGUGGUGGAAUUUCCUGUGUAGCGGUGAAAUGCGUAGAUAUAGGAAGGAACACCAGU
rnacentral:rRNA from 1 species